AGAGUUUGAUCCUGGCUCAGAACGAACGCUGGCGGCGUGCUUAACACAUGCAAGUCAGGGAGAAAGUCUCUUCGGGGAUGAUUAAACCGGCGCACGGGUGAGUAACACGUGAGUGACCUGCCUUUUAGACUGGAACAACUUACCGAAAGGUGAGCUAAUGCCGGAUGAGUUAUAUAAGUGCAUGUUUAUAUAGGAAAAGUUGGGGAGACCUGACGCUGAAAGAUGGACUCGCGUCCCAUUAGCUAGUUGGUAGGGUAAUGGCCUACCAAGGCGACGAUGGGUAGCCGGCCUGAGAGGGUGGCCGGCCACACUGGGACUGAGACACGGCCCAGACUCCUACGGGAGGCAGCAGUGGGGAAUUUUGCGCAAUGCUCGUAAGAGUGACGCAGCGACGCCGCGUGAAUGACGAAGGCCUUCGGGUCGUAAAGUUCUUUCGACAGGGAAGAAAAUGCCUAUAAGUAACUGUGUAUGUAUUGACGGUACCUGUA
rnacentral:rRNA from 1 species